rnacentral:rRNA from 1 species
GAUGAACGCUGGCGGCGUGCUUAACACAUGCAAGUCGAACGGUGAAGGCGGAGCUUGCUCUGCUGGAUCAGUGGCGAACGGGUGAGUAACACGUGAGCAAUCUGCCCCUGACUCUGGGAUAAGCGCUGGAAACGGCGUCUAAUACUGGAUACGAGCUGCGAAGGCAUCUUCAGCAGCUGGAAAGAAUUUCGGUCAGGGAUGAGCUCGCGGCCUAUCAGCUUGUUGGUGAGGUAAUGACUCACCAAGGCGUCGACGGGUAGCCGGCCUGAGAGGGUGACCGGCCACACUGGGACUGAGACACGGCCCAGACUCCUACGGGAGGCAGCAGUGGGGAAUAUUGCACAAUGGGCGAAAGCCUGAUGCAGCAACGCCGCGUGAGGGACGACGGCCUUCGGGUUGUAAACCUCUUUUAGCAGGGAAGAAGCGAAAGUGACGGUACCUGCAGAAAAAGCGCCGGCUAACUACGUG